CUUCUUCUUCUUCUCCCCUGAAUAUGCUGCCGUCGGUUUCUAUCUUCGCCGGCUAGCCACUUCCGAUCAUACUUUCCACCACACCACCAUCCGCCGCCCGUCCUCGCCGCUUCUCCACCUCAAUCGCCUCCCUCGCCUCACCACCACCACCAUCACCACAACCAAAGUCAAAGUCAACUCCAUCAACUGCCGUUAACACCUUCAAUUACGCCAUUUCAAAUCCUAACGGAACCAAUCCUGCGUUACAGAUUGUCAAAUCCACCGAGUCUGAAAUUGAAAAGGUGAUAUUUGAUUUUCGGUUUUUGGUACUUUUGGCUGUUGGAGGUU